UACUGCCCCAUAGUCUGGGAUACCACUUGGAAACAGGUGCUAAUACCGGAUAAGAAAGCAGAUCGCAUGAUCAGCUUUUAAAAGGCGGCGUAAGCUGUCGCUAUGGGAUGGCCCCGCGGCGCAUUAGCUAGUUGGUAAGGUAAAGGCUUACCAAGGCGAUGAUGCAUAGCCGAGUUGAGAGACUGAUCGGCCACAUUGGGACUGAGACACGGCCCAA
rnacentral:rRNA from 1 species